rnacentral:tRNA from 1 species
UAUAUUAAGGUGUAAAGCACACAAAAUUUUGAAUUUUGAGGUAAAGGUGAAAUUCCUUUUUAUAUAG